rnacentral:tRNA from 1 species
GGAGGGUAUAGCUCAGUGGUAGAGUGCGUGCUUAGCAUGCAUGAGGUCCUGGGUUCAAUCCCCAGUACUUCCA